rnacentral:lncRNA from 1 species
AAGUCACUAUCAUAAAUCCAUCAAUCGAAAAACAAAAAUCUUCUUUCAAGAUGAAGAAAUUAUUCUUUUGACACAUGAUGAAAUGAAAAUAUUAAGGGUCCGUUUAAAUGAGCCGUGAAUCGACAAAAUCAAAGUGAAUGGAGUACUAUAUUUCUCACAAAAUCAACACUUUGUAGUCUCUUCCUCAAAAAAUAAAAUGAAACACUUUGUAGUCGUACAAAAUCACCGUAAUUUUUCGAUUUCACAACUCAUAAAUUGUUGUGACCAUUUUUGUAAAAAAAAAGUUAAAAAUUGAUGACACCAUUUUGCUCAUUGGACUUAUGAAAGAUUUUGAUUUUUGGAUCCAAGACAAGCCCCAUGAAAUUCAAGGGUUUUAGUGCUUAAAAAAAAAGGGAAUAUAUAUUACUAUAGUAUUAAAAAUAAUAUUAAAUAAUAUACUAUACUAUAGAGUAAAAAUAAUAAAGAAUUUUGAAAAAGUUGAGAAGAAACCCUAGGUUCAGAGAAGUAGGUCAUAAUUUACAUUGUUUGAGUGAUUUUGAAUUUUGAGCUGCAAAAGCAAAGUAACUACUUAAACUGAAAAUGGAAGAAAAAAUUGAUUUUACACAACACUUAAUUUACACAAAAAAGAGACCUGACUCUAGACUUAAAAAUUGCUUUUGGGAAACGCUUUUGAACCAGAUCUGUUUCAAACGCUGGCAAAGCGAAAAAAUGGUAAAAUCAGAGUCUGGGUUUAGACCCAAAAGAGGGUAAGAAAGAGAAAGUAACAAAACAAACAAAGCCUUAGCCACACAGAAUAUAUAAAAAAUUANNNNNNNNNNNNNNNNNNNNNNNNNNNNNNNNNNNNNNNNNNAGUUUAAUUAUUUAGUGUUUCCAGUUGCAGAUCUAACAUGAAUAUGAUUUCAGAAAUACUCAAACUUCUAUAAACGCCGAGACAUUCACAGAAAUAGAUAAAAAUCAAACGGUGAAAAUUGAAAUUCAACUUUUUGAUGUUUUCACAAAAUAAUAUAUUAUUUAUUAAAAAAUUAAAAAUAUCCUUUCUCUAUAUAUGAAAACAGCAAAAAUUGUUUUGAGUGAAAUCACACACAAGAUGUUUUCAAAAUAAAAAAGAGUAAGUAAAGUAAUCAAGUUUUCUUUCUAGGUUUUAGGGAUUUAGGUUUUUGUUUGUUGCAUAUUUUAGUGUUAAUAAGUAAUUACCUUGAACUGCUGCAAAACUCGUACAAUUUUCCUCUAUUGGAGAAGAUGAUAA